AUUUGGAGAGGAUGCUUUGGGCUGCGGUGCCUUCCGAGUUCCUUGGAACAGGACGCCACAGAGGGUGAGAGCCCCGUACGGUCGGACGCCCAGCCCGUGUAAAGCUCCUUCGACGAGUCGAGUAGUUUGGGAAUGCUGCUCAAAAUGGGAGGUAAAUUUCUUCUAAAGCUAAAUACUGGCCAGAGACCGAUAGCGCACAAGUAGAGUGAUCGAAAGAUGAAAAGCACUUUGAAAAGAGGGUUAAACAGUACGUGAAAUUGUUGAAAGGGAAGCGCCUGUGACCAGACUUGCGCCCCGCGAACCACCCGGCGUUCCGCGCCGGUGCACUCCGCGGGGCGCAGGCCAGCAUCGGUUUUCCUAGGGGGACAAGGACCGUGGGAACGUAGCUCUUUCGGGAGUGUUAUAGCCCGCGGCGCCAUGCCUCUGGGGGGACCGAGGACCGCGCUUCGGCAAGGAUGCUGGCGUAAUGGUCAUCGGCGACCCGUCUUGAAACACGGACCAAGGAGUCAAGCAUUGGGGCGAGUGUCUGGGUGCCAAACCCGCACGCGAAAUGAAAGUAAACGCAGGUGAGAGCUUCGGCGCAUCAUCGACCGAUCCUGAUGUUCUCGGAUGGAUUUGAGUAGGAGCCUU
rnacentral:rRNA from 1 species